rnacentral:lncRNA from 1 species
UUCAGGGAGGGGAUGUGAUGUUGAUGGAGAUGAGCUUUUGUGUUGAGUAGGUCGAAAAAUGCAUGAAACUGUGUUUACAUAAUUGAUUUGAAGAGGAAAUAGUGAAAACAACUUUUCUCACCCUUACUUCCAACUUUAUCACUAAGUGGCCUUAUAAUUCCAAAUGCGUAAUUUGAUUUUCACUUAUACGCUCAAUUUAUUUUGACGUCUUAUUCUGUACUUCUACGUUUGCUAAUGGAAUAAACAAGGUCUUAAAGUUUGGUUGCAAUUUUUUCUUUUUUAUUUGAACUUCUUAGUUCAUAACUUAAACUUGUUUGUCGAGGGAUUGUGUACUUGUAUUCCAGUGUNAUAUAUCUGNUAAUGUUGUACUCUAAUUCUGUUUUGGUUAGAAAUACCAGCAGAGAUUAUAUGUGNUGUCAGUUNCCACUGUGGCUGAAUUCAUUGCAUAUUCGUGAUUGUAAUU